rnacentral:misc_RNA from 1 species
UAAUAAGUGUUUUAUAGCACUUUUUAAAUCCAUAUCCACCUUGUGUGCAAUGUCAGUCGAUCCUCUUCAUGGAGAUCGACCAAACAUCAACCUUUAUUUUUUAACUCUUUGUCUGAAAAAUAUUAUGAAUAAACAAUUCAAAAUA